rnacentral:lncRNA from 1 species
CGACCGGUUUCUGGUUCGAGUACAGCUAAAUAAUUUAGCGCUGAAUGAGGAGCGUCGCUAUCUUAUGAGGCGUGAACAUUAAUGCCCGCGCAUGCUGUGUUCAUUAAGAAAACCAAUUAAUACAGGCAGCUUAAAUCCUGUAAUAGAGGACGUGUUUCUCACCAGUCCGGCCGGAGAUGAGAAAGGCUUGUGUAUUCCGCGCCAUAAUCUUGACAUUCAGGGAACCUUUGUUCUCUGAAUCCAUUGUGAAUUAUGUCAAUCAAAUUUAAACGGUGGCAUUUUGGGCUGGAGCGUUUCGACCACGCGGUCUCCAGGAAUUACUCGCUUGAACAAUUGCAAAUUGAAAUGGAGCUGCACCUGAAAGAAAUAAUGACCCCACAAUUCAGGAGGACAGAACGUGUUGUGCACAGUAUUAAGACCUUCAUAAUUCAUCUCUCAGCCCUUCAAACUCAAGACAAGCAUGAAGUAAUAAUGAAAAAGAAAAGAGCAAGUAGUUGUCAAAGAGCUGAACAUGGAAAAUGCCUUGCCGAGUAAUUUUGGACAUCCGAUACAUGCUCAACCUCGCCAGCAAAAGUACGCAGAAAAACAAACG